UUUGGUGAUCAUAGCAAGGGAGAAACACUUGAUCCCAUCUCGAACUCAGCAGUGAAAACCUUUAGCGCCGAUGGUACUAUGUCUUAAGGCAUGGAAGAGAAGGUCGUUGCCAAAC
rnacentral:rRNA from 1 species